rnacentral:rRNA from 1 species
GAGACCCACGCCCACAGUUGCCAGCGUACUCUCUGGAGUGACGGGUACACUGUGGGGACCGCCGCUGCUAAAGCGGAGGAAGGAAUGGGCAACGGUAGGUCAGUAUGCCCCGAAUAUCCCGGGCUACACGCGAGCUACAAUGGCUGGUACAAUGGGUAUCUACCCCGAAAGGGGAUGGAAAUCUCCUAAAGCCAGUCUUAGUUCGGAUUGAGGGCUGCAACUCGCCCUCAUGAAGCUGGAAUCCGUAGUAAUCGCGUUUCAACAGAACGCGGUGAAUAC